rnacentral:rRNA from 1 species
CCUACGGGUGGCAGCAGUGGGGAAUAUUGCACAAUGGGGGAAACCCUGAUGCAGCGACGCCGCGUGCAUGAUGAAGUAAUUCGUUAUGUAAAGCUCUAUCAGCAGGGAAGAAAAUGACGGUACCUGAGGAAGAAGCCCCGGCUAACUAAGUGCCAGCAGCCGCGGUAAUACGGAGGGGGCAAGCGUUAUCCGGAUUUACUGGGUGUAAAGGGAGCGUAGACGGCAGUGCAAGUCUGCAGUGAAAGGCGGGGGCUCAACCCCGGAACUGCUCUGGAAACUGUUGGGCUGGAGUGCGGGAGAGGUAGGUGGAAUUCGUAGUGUAGCGGUGAAAUGCGUAGAUAUUAGGAGGAACACCAGUGGCGAAGGCGGCUUACUGGACUGUAACUGACGUUGAGGCUCGAAAGCGUGGGGAGCAAACAGGAUUAGAUACCCGAGUAGUC